rnacentral:rRNA from 1 species
GCAUAUCAAUAAGCGGAGGAAAAGAAACCAACCGGGAUUGCCUCAGUAACGGCGAGUGAAGCGGCAAAAGCUCAAAUUUGAAAUCCUUCGGGAGUUGUAAUUUGUAGAGGGGUGUCUUUGGGGCGGCAUUGUCUAUGUUCCUUGGAACAGGACGUCACAGAGGGUGAGAAUCCCGUGCGAUGAUGCCUCAACCAGUACAAGACCCUCUCGACGAGUCGAGUUGUUUGGGAAUGCAGCUCUAAGUGGGUGGUAAAUUCCAUCUAAAGCUAAAUACUGGCGAGAGACCGAUAGCGAACAAGUACAGUGAUGGAAAGAUGAAAAGCACUUUGAAAAGAGAGUGAAACAGUACGUGAAAUUGUUGAAAGGGAAGGGUAGGAGGUGAGGGGAAGAGCUGCUUAGGCGCGGGAGAUAAACAAGCAGGAAGCGCUUCGGUGCGGCCUGGUAAAUAUCCCGUGCUUGUGUGGUUCUUCCGUAAUCCCCUUCUACCGCCCGUCUUGAACAACGGACC